ACAGGACUCUGCGAAAUCGAAAGAUGAAGUAUAGGGUCUGACACCUGCCCGGUGCCGGAAGGUUAAGGAAGGGGCUUAGGGGUAACUCGAAGGUCUUGACUGAAGCCCCGGUAAACGGCGGCCGUAACUAUAACGGUCCUAAGGUAGCGAAAUUCCUUGUCGGGUAAGUUCCGACCUGCACGAAUGGUGUAACGAUCUGGGCACUGUCUCAGCCACGAGCUCGGUGAAAUUGAAGUAUCGGUGAAGAUGCCGAUUACCCGCAACGGGACGGAAAGACCCCGUGAACCUUUACUACAGCUUUGCAUUGGGCUUGACUAUUCGAUGCGUAGGAUAGGUGGGAGACGCUGAUCUUGGUAUUCCGGUACUGAGGGAGUCGACGUUGAAAUACCACCCUUUGACUAGUUGAGUCCUAACGGAGAAAUCCAGACAGUGCAUGGUGGGUAGUUUGACUGGGGUGGUCACCUCCUAAAGAGUAACGGAGGUUUGCAAAGGUACCCUCAGCAUGGACGGUAAUCAUGCGAAGAGCGUAUUAGUAUAAGGGUGCUUGACUGAGAGACCGACGGGUCGAUCAGGGACGAAAGUCGGCUAAAGUGAUCCGGUGGUUCCGCAUGGAAGGGCCAUCGCUCAAAGGAUAAAAGGUACUCCGGGGAUAACAGGCUGAUCUCCCCCAAGAGCUCAUAUCGACGGGGAGGUUUGGCACCUCGAUGUCGGCUCGUCGCAUCCUGGGGCUGGAGAAGGUCCCAAGGGUUGGGCUGUUCGCCCAUUAAAGCGGCACGUGAGCUGGGUUCAGAACGUCGCAAGACAGUUCGGUCCCUAUCUGUUGUGGGCGCGGGAAGAUUGAAGAGACCUGACACUAGUACGAGAGGACCGUGUUGGACGAACCUCUUGUGUACCGGUUGUGCCGCCAGGUGCAUUGCCGGGUAGCAAUGUUCGGACGGGAUAAGCGCUGAAAGCAUCUAAGCGCGAAGCCUACUCUGAGAUGAAUCUUCCGAUUAAGGGUCGCAGGAGACUACUGCGUUGAUAGGCGGCAGGUGGAAGUGUGGUGACAUGCUGAGCCGAGCCGUACUAAUUACCCGUAAGCUUCCAUUU
rnacentral:rRNA from 1 species